UCCGUAGGGGGUACCUGCGGAGGGAUCAUUACACAAAUAUGAAGGCGGGCUGGAACCUCUCGGGGUUACAGCCUUGCUGAAUUAUUCACCCUUGUCUUUUGCGUACUUCUUGUUUCCUUGGUGGGUUCGCCCACCACUAGGACAAACAUAAACCUUUUGUAAUUGCAAUCAGCGUCAGUAACAAAUUAAUAAUUACAACUUUCAACAACGGAUCUCUUGGUUCUGGCAUCGAUGAAGAACGCAGCGAAAUGCGAUAAGUAGUGUGAAUUGCAGAAUUCAGUGAAUCAUCGAAUCUUUGAACGCACAUUGCGCCCUUUGGUAUUCCAAAGGGCAUGCCUGUUCGAGCGUCAUUUGUACCCUCAAGCUUUGCUUGGUGUUGGGCGUCUUGUCUCUAGCUUUGCUGGAGACUCGCCUUAAAGUAAUUGGCAGCCGGCCUACUGGUUUCGGAGCGCAGCACAAGUCGCACUCUCUAUCAGCAAAGGUCUAGCAUCCAUUAAGCCUUUUUUCAACUUUGACCUCGGAUCAGGUAGGAU
rnacentral:rRNA from 1 species